UUUGUACUCCCUUCGUCCCAAAAUUCUUGUCUUAAAUUUGUCUAAAUACGGAUGUAUCUAGUUACAUUUUAGUGUUAGAUACAUCUGUAUCUAAACAAAUGUAAGACAAGCAUUUUGGGACGGAGGGAAUAUACC
rnacentral:pre_miRNA from 1 species